CAGCCGCCGCGGUAAUACGUAGGGUGCAAGCGUUAAUCGGAAUUACUGGGCGUAAAGCGUGCGCAGGCGGUUAUAUAAGACAGAUGUGAAAUCCCCGGGCUCAACCUGGGAACUGCAUUUGUGACUGUAUAGCCAGAGUACGGCAGAGGGGGAUGGAAUUCCGCGUGUAGCAGUGAAAUGCGUAGAUAUGCGGAGGAACACCGAUGGCGAAGGCAAUCCCCUGGGCCUGUACUGACGCUCAUGCACGAAAGCGUGGGGAGCAAACAGGAUUAGAUACCCCGGUAGUCCCUGUCUCUUAUAC
rnacentral:rRNA from 1 species